AGUGAACGCUGGCGGUAGGCCUAACACAUGCGAGUCGAACGGCAGCACAGUAAGAGCUUGCUCUUACGGGUGGCGAGUGGCGGACGGGUGAGGAAUACAUCGGAAUCUACUUUUUCGUGGGGGAUAACGUAGGGAAACUUACGCUAAUACCGCAUACGACCUACGGGCGAAAGCAGGGGAUCUUCGGACCUUGCGCGAUUGAAUGAGCCGAUGUCGGAUUAGCUAGUUGGCGGGGUAAAGGCCCACCAAGGCGACGAUCCGUAGCUGGUCUGAGAGGAUGAUCAGCCACACUGGAACUGAGACACGGUCCAGACUCCUACGGGAGGCAGCAGUGGGGAAUAUUGGACAAUGGGCGCAAGCCUGAUCCAGCCAUACCGCGUGGGUGAAGAAGGCCUUCGGGUUGUAAAGCCCUUUUGUUGGGAAAGAAAAGCAGCAGGUUAAUACCCCGCUGUUCUGACGGUACCCAAAGAAUAAGCACCGGCUAACUUCGUG
rnacentral:rRNA from 1 species